rnacentral:rRNA from 1 species
UACGUAGGGGGCAAGCGUUGUCCGGAAUCAUUGGGCGUAAAGCGCGUGUAGGCGGCCCGGUAAGUCCGCUGUGAAAGUCGGGGGCUCAACCCUCGAAUGCCGGUGGAUACUGUCGGGCUAGAGUCCGGAAGAGGCGAGUGGAAUUCCUGGUGUAGCGGUGGAAUGCGCAGAUAUCAGGAGGAACACCGAUGGCGAAGGCAGCUCGCUGGGACGGUACUGACGCUGAGGCGCGAAAGCGUGGGGAGCGAACAGG